rnacentral:rRNA from 1 species
AUACGGAGGGUGCAAGCGUUGUUCGGAAUCACUGGGCGUAAAGGGCGCGCAGGCGGUUUGGUAAGUCAGAUGUGAAAGCCCACGGCUCAACCGUGGAAGUGCAUUUGAAACUGUCAGACUUGAGUACUAGAGGGGAAAGUGGAAUUCCCGGUGUAGAGGUGAAAUUCGUAGAUAUCGGGAGGAAUACCGGUGGCGAAGGCGACUUUCUGGCUAGAUACUGACGCUGAGGCGUGAAAGCGUGGGGAGCAAACAGGAUUAGAAACCCUAGUAGUCC